CCUACGGGUGGCUGCAGUGAGGAAUAUUGGUCAAUGGGCGCGAGCCUGAACCAGCCAAGCCGCGUGAAGGAUGAAUGUCCUACGGUUUGUAAACUUCUUUUAUCAAGGAAUAAAGUCAGGCACGUGUCCCUUUUUGUAUGUACUUUAUGAAUAAGGAUCGGCUAACUCCGUGCCAUCAGCCGCGGUAAUACGGAGGAUGCGAGCGUUAUCCGGAUUUGUUGUGUUUAAAGGGUGCGUAGGCGGAAUGUCAAGUCAGCGGUAAAAUCGGGGGGCUCAACCUCGCCCCGCCGUUGAAACUGGCGUUCUUGAGUGGGCGAGAAGUAUGCGGAAUGCGUGGUGUAGCGGUGAAAUGCAUAGAUAUCACGCAGAACUCCGAUUGCGAAGGCAGCAUACCGGCGCCCAACUGACGCUGAGGCACGAAAGCGUGGGUAUCGAACAGGAUUAGAUACCCUAGUAGUC
rnacentral:rRNA from 1 species